GACGAACGCUGGCGGCGUGCUUAACACAUGCAAGUCGAGCGGUAAGGCCCUUUCGGGGGUACACGAGCGGCGAACGGGUGAGUAACACGUGGGUGACCUGCCCUCAGCUCUGGGAUAAGCCUGGGAAACUGGGUCUAAUACUGGAUAUGACUCCACGGUGCAUGUCGUGGGGUGGAAAGCCUUGUGCGGCUGAGGAUGGGCCCGCGGCCUAUCAGCUUGUUGGUGGGGNGAUGGCCUACCAAGGCGACGACGGGUAGCCGGCCUGAGAGGGCGACCGGCCACACUGGGACUGAGGCACGGCCCAGACUCCUACGGGAGGCAGCAGUGGGGAAUCUUGCGCAAUGGGCGAAAGCCUGACGCAGCGACGCCGCGUGAGGGAUGACGGCCUGGUU
rnacentral:rRNA from 1 species